ACAGUGACUGCUCUUUUUCCCUCCUGCCACAGUCCAGGGUAGGAGAUACUUCUCCAGGCUCUCACUUAUGGGGGCUUUCCUGCUGGCUACAUCACUGAAAUGGAAUCUCCUAGUGGCCCUUCUCCCUCUACAGCUCUGGUGUUACACUGAAAAACUAGAAGUUUCAAAACAGACAAGGGAAAAAGAGAAACAUCAGAAAGUCUGAUUAAAGUAGAAGCAUCAUAUUUCUAUCAACGUAUCCACUGUGCUUGGACUCUGUAAUAUUCACCGGCAGGAAAACCCAAGGGAAUGACUACUAUGACAUCUGAUGGAAAUCUUCUCCAAGGGCAACUCUGAGUGGUGAAGACAGGAUGGAGUCAGUUGACUCUAGACCUUGUCCCAGUCUACUACUUUCUACUAUGACCUCCAGCAGGGCUGGGAGCUACACAGGCCAGGGACUUUGUUUUCUUCCCCGUCUUUCCUCAGGGCCCAUCACAGAAAUGCCUUUAGGCCCUCUUCACCACCUCACAUCUGCAUCUCAACUCCAGGCAGCAGAGUUCAUAUCAAGGGCCCAUGUUUUAACUGAAUAUAAUGAAUUUUUUUUUUCACCUUGGAAGAGUCUUAGAGGCAAGAUUAGAAUGUUCAUCUAAAAGGAGUGCAAAUUUCUUCAACCAUUCCCACGGAGGAAGGUGAGCUCAGACUCACUUUCAUCUGUCCCUCUCCCCCAUGUGCUUGGCCAGGGUAAGGGACCUCAGGAGGGCCCCCCCAGUCUCCCAGACAGCUGACUCUCCCUGUGUAAAUAAUUCUAAUGCUCUCAGUUAUUCACUACUCAUCUGAGCCACCUAUUGAACUAUAAGCUUCAGAAUUAGCUUUGUACAACCCACACCCAGCACAGGGUCUGGCAUUUAUAUGUGUUCAUAAAUGCAACAAAUAAACAUUUAUUAAAAUGCA
rnacentral:lncRNA from 1 species